UACGUAGGGUGCGAGCGUUGCCCGGAUUUAUUGGGCGUAAAGGGCGCGUAGGCGGCUCUGCACGUCCGUUGUGAAAUCGCCCGGCUCAACUGGGCGGGGUCAGCGGAUACGGCGGAGCUUGAGCAAGCUAGGGGGCAAUGGAAUUCCCGGUGUAGUGGUGGAAUGCGUAGAUAUCGGGAGGAACACCGGUGGCGAAGGCGGUUCUCUGGGCCUGUUCUGACGCUGAGGAGCGAAAGCGUGGGGAGCGAACAGG
rnacentral:rRNA from 1 species